GACGUCAGGGUGGUCUGCCCGACCUCCCACACGCUUCUCCGUGCCAACAGUCGUGUUUGUAAACCUGAGCGUAAUCACGAAGCUUGUGUUCUGGGGAAGAGUUAGAUGUCCAGGACGCUCUGUGACAGGGGAAACACAAAGCCUGUUGGGAGCUGGGAGCGUCCAGUUGCGGCUGUGACACGUGUCUCUAUAUCCAUCUUCCUACGUGUUGAACUUGGCUGUCCUCAUCAGAGGCAGAAGACAGUGCCAGCUCUUGAGGAAGAGAGCAAAGUUUCAGAGAACUUCUCCAGGAAUUCCAACUGAGUCUUGUGGCUUUCACUGACUUGUCCUGAUCUUCUGAAUCUGCUGAUUUGUGUUGCUGAUUGGUGUUGGCCUUUGGGCUGGACUGCUGUAUCUGGACAAAGAAGAGUGGACUCAUCCCAAAGAACUACUUCUAAAAAUGUUUACAGACCCCUUUACCUAAUAACCUUCUUCUUCUCCUACAUCUGCUCAGUGGGAAGAAGGGAGGCAGAAGCAUUAAGGAACCCUAAAUAAAAUAAAUAAAAUAGG